GUGCCAGCAGCCGCGGUAAUACGGGGGGGGCAAGCGUUGUUCGGAAUUACUGGGCGUAAAGGGUUGGUAGGUGGCCGAUUAAGUCAGACGUGAAAUCCCUCAGCUUAACUGGGGAACUGCGUCUGAUACUGGUUGGCUUGAGUGCAGGAGAGGAACGCGGAAUUCCAGGUGUAGCGGUGAAAUGCGUAGAUAUCUGGAGGAACACCGGUGGCGAAGGCGGCGUUCUGGACUGCAACUGACACUGAACAACGAAAGCCAGGGGAGCAAACGGGAUUAGAUACCCCUGUAGUCC
rnacentral:rRNA from 1 species